rnacentral:rRNA from 1 species
UAGGGAAUAUUGGACAAUGGGCGAAAGCCUGAUCCAGCCAUGCCGCGUGUGUGAAGAAGGUCUUCGGAUUGUAAAGCACUUUAAGUUGGGAGGAAGGGCAGUAAGUUAAUACCUUGCUGUUUUGACGUUACCGACAGAAUAAGCACCGGCUAACUCUGUGCCAA